rnacentral:rRNA from 1 species
UACGAGAGGACCGAGUUGGACGAACCUCCGGUGUAUCGGUUAUGCUGCCAAGUGUACCGCCGAGUAGCCGCGUUCGGUUUGGAUAAGCGCUGAAAGCAUCUAAGCGCGAAGCCAUCCCCAAGAUAAGUCUUCCCUUGAGGGGCGUAGGAGACGACUACGUUGAUAGGCUGCAGGUGUAAAGACAGUGAUGUCAAAGCCGAGCAGUACUAAUUACCCGAACGGCUUUCUUGC